rnacentral:rRNA from 1 species
AACGAACGCUGGCGGCAUGCCUAACACAUGCUAGUCGAACGAGACCUUCGGGUCUAGUGGCGCACGGGUGCGUAACGCGUGGGAACCUGCCCUUAGGUUCGGAAUAACUCCCCGAAAGGGGUGCUAAUACCGGAUAAUGUCUUCGGACCAAAGAUUUAUCGCCUUUGGAUGGGCCCGCGUUGGAUUAGCUAGUUGGUAGGGUAAAAGCCUACCAAGGCGACGAUCCAUAGCUGGUCUGAGAGGAUGAUCAGCCACACUGGGACUGAGACACGGCCCAGACUCCUACGGGAGGCAGCAGUGGGGAAUAUUGGACAAUGGGCGAAAGCCUGAUCCAGCAAUGCCGCGUGAGUGAUGAAGGCCUUAGGGUCGUAAAGCUCUUUUACCCGGGAUGAUAAUGACAGUACCGGGAGAAUAAGCUCCGGCUAACUCCGUG